rnacentral:lncRNA from 1 species
CCGGGCUCAGAGGGCGGGCGGGAGCAGGGGCGCCCCGGGCGCCGGGGCCGCUGGGGACGAACGCGGCGGGUCAGGCCCCGAAGCCCGGGCCGCGGUGGCCGCCUCAGGCGCCCGCUCUGGGGUGGGGGUGGGGGCAUCUUUCGGGACCGAACUCGCCGCAGCCUCCCUCUUUGUGCUCCUUUCCCCUGCUGCCCUUCCAGAUGCGCUCUUUCCAGAAAGGCAGCACACGCAUGUCUCUGCCGUGGCCCCAGAUCCUCCCCGCGCCGCCGUUUUGAGCGUUCACACUCAUUACCCAGGUCCGUCUGGGAGACCCGCCGGGCUCCCGCCCUCCCGGCCCGCAGCCUCCUGGCCAAAAUCCUCCCGGGACACCCCACCUGGACUGCUGCGAACGGGCCUCCACCCGCCUCCCCGGACCCGCAGCGCCCCCCGCUCCCUCAGGGUUCUGGGGUGAAGGGGUCUGAAUAGCACCAGGGGAGGCGGCAGGGCGGGCCUGUCCUACCUGCGCCCGAGCACUGCUGAGACGACAUCCCUUCCAGCGCCGCCACGUAGUCCAGCCCCAGCCAGCCGCGGUCCUGGAAGCACCGCAGGCAGACGACCUGCUCCUCACUGGGCUCAGGCAGGGUCACCCGCCCAGUGCCGCUAGCUGCAAAUUGCUUUACAUACAGUGACCCAAAGAGCAAGUCAUUUCAGGGCCCCACCACUCUGAUUGGAAGUCAUAAGCUUGACAACUGAUUGGCCUCUGUCACCCAAGCGGGUGUGGGGACACUAGGCCCGCAGGUGCCACUGGAAGAGGCGUUCAGAAGCACUGCGGUGCUCCAGCUCCUGGAUGCAGGUCUGAGGCCUGAGAUGUCCAGGAAGAAAGACCCAGAAAUGAGGGAUGGUGUGGGUGGGAUUCCUGAGCGUUCUGCUAGGCCUGCUGAGCACUUCUUGGCCUUUUCCAUAAGGCUUUCUCACUCUGUCUUACAGAUAUCUCCCCACAAACCUAAACAAUUUCGAGAGGGACUUGUGUUCUGCAACCAGUCACAGAAUAUCAGGUGAGCUGGGCGUGUCUUCACUGACCCACCCGCCCAGGGAUGCUGCACUCCUCUCCACCCUGCUCAGAAUCACUAGAAUGACCGUUCUGUGGCUACAGCCCUAAAAGAGCUACUAAAAAGACCAGAAGUAGUAUGAGAACUUAUGAAUACGAAUAUAAAUAAAGGACAUCUGGAGAACAUGCA